UCCGCGCACCGGAACCUUCCACCGAGGCCGACGAGCUCCUCCUUUACGUCGAACAGCUCCUCCUUCACCAAAUAAACUGUAACACCAGCUCCUCCUUUACCCAGACACAACAGAUCAAUUUCUUUACGAAUCUAUAAGCACUAGUGGCCAAUCCUCCUGGAUAAUCUUCAUGUUUAGUAAAUAGAUGGAUAUCUUUCUCUUAGACAUCGAUACAAUCCUCCAGAAUGCCAGUUGUCUUGCCUGCUUGUCACAGAGUACUCAAGGAGGUUUGUAGAAGGUUGCCGGGUUUUUCACCCGCUGAAGUGUUGGAUUUUGGUGCUGGCAUGGGUUUGGCUUUCUGGGCACUAUGAGAAGUCUGGCCGAAUUCCUUGGAGAAAGUUAACUUAGUUGAGUCAUCACAAUCAAUGCAGCA